GGAAGGCUCGUCCGCUCUGGGUUAGUCGGGUCCUAAGCUGAGGCCGACAGGCGUAGGCGAUGGAUAACAGGUUGAUAUUCCUGUACCACCUAUAAUCGUUUUAAUCGAUGGGGGGACGCAGUAGGAUAGGCGAAGCGUGCGAUUGGAUUGCACGUCUAAGCAGUAAGGCUGAGUAUUAGGCAAAUCCGGUACUCGUUAAGGCUGAGCUGUGAUGGGGAGAAGACAUUGUGUCUUCGAGUCGUUGAUUUCACACUGCCGAGAAAAGCCUCUAGAUAGAAAAUAGGUGCCCGUACCGCAAACCGACACAGGUAGUCAAGAUGAGAAUUCUAAGGUGAGCGAGCGAACUCUCGUUAAGGAACUCGGCAAAAUGACCCCGUAACUUCGGGAGAAGGGGUGCUCUUUAGGGUUAACGCCCAGAAGAGCCGCAGUGAAUAGGCCCAAGCGACUGUUUAUCAAAAACACAGGUCUCUGCUAAACCGUAAGGUGAUGUAUAGGGGCUGACGCCUGCCCGGUGCUGGAAGGUUAAGAGGAGUGGUUAGCUUCUGCGAAGCUACGAAUCGAAGCCCCAGUAAACGGCGGCCGUAACUAUAACGGUCCUAAGGUAGCGAAAUUCCUUGUCGGGUAAGUUCCGACCCGCACGAAAGGCGUAACGAUUUGGGCACUGUCUCAACGAGAGACUCGGUGAAAUCAUAGUACCUGUGAAGAUGCAGGUUACCCGCGACAGGACGGAAAGACCCCGUGGAGCUUUACUGUAGCCUGAUAUUGAAAUUCGGCACAGCUUGUACAGGAUAGGUAGGAGCCUUUGAAACGUGAGCGCUAGCUUACGUGGAGGCGCUGGUGGGAUACUACCCUAGCUGUGUUGGCUUUCUAACCCGCACCACUUAUCGUGGUGGGAGACAGUGUCAGGCGGGCAGUUUGACUGGGGCGGUCGCCUCCUAAAAGGUAACGGAGGCGCUCAAAGGUUCCCUCAGAAUGGUUGGAAAUCAUUCAUAGAGUGUAAAGGCAUAAGGGAGCUUGACUGCGAGACCUACAAGUCGAGCAGGGUCGAAAGACGGACUUAGUGAUCCGGUGGUUCCGCAUGGAAGGGCCAUCGCUCAACGGAUAAAAGCUACCCCGGGGAUAACAGGCUUAUCUCCCCCAAGAGUUCACAUCGACGGGGAGGUUUGGCACCUCGAUGUCGGCUCAUCGCAUCCUGGGGCUGUAGUCGGUCCCAAGGGUUGGGCUGUUCGCCCAUUAAAGCGGUACGCGAGCUGGGUUCAGAACGUCGUGAGACAGUUCGGUCCCUAUCCGUCGUGGGCGUAGGAAAUUUGAG
rnacentral:rRNA from 1 species